AUUGCUUUUAUUUUUGUAGUUCAUUUAUUUAUUUGUAUUUUAUUGUAUUAUGUAAAAGUUAGUUUUAGCUCAUUUUAACUCAUUUUUGUUUUUUUAUUUAUUUUUUUAUCUUAAUUUUUUAUCAAUUAAUUUUUUUUUCUAAUUCUAUUUUUAUUUUUUAUUUUUUAUUAUAUCUAUGAAGUAGAGCUGAGUCAGACGUGGGUUGGGGAAAUCCUGAAAGCGAACGGAGCCGGACGCGGACAGUGUUUAUGAAGCUGCUGGUGUUCAAAUUUAAAUGGAAUAGGCACUAAUUUCCCAGACAAUGUCUAUCUGGGUUUAAUAAUUGGAGUUUCGGUCUCGGGGGUUUUGGCAGCGCUUGUUUUUUUGAUGCUCUGUGUUCUGGUGAUGAUAAUAAACACUGCAAGAUGCCCUGACUGCACAGACCACAUCUCUCAGGGUUUAAUGAUUGGAGGUGUGGUCUCAGGGAUGUUGGUGCUCCUGUGUCCUGUGAUCCUCCGUGUGCUAAUAAAGAGAAUAAUAAUGUAUGAAAGAUGGACUGACUUGCUUUAUAACAUCUACUGGGAUUUAAUAGUUGGAGUUGUGGGGCUUGUGCUGAUCCUGUAUUCUGUGACCCUUUGUGUUCUGAUAUGGAGAAUAAAAAAGUAUGGAAGAAGGACUAACCACCUUAACCACAUCUAUUGGGGUUUAAUGAUUGGAGUUGUGGUGCUUGCGCUGAUCCUGUAUUCUGUGAUCCUCUGUGUUCUGAUUAUAAAAAUACGGGACAGUAAUGAACCACUUCCUCAACAAGCAGGUGCUGAUAUUGCUGGUGAUGCUGAAGAUUCUGCAGGUAGGUGGAAUAUUAUAUUUAUUCCAGAGAAAUAUUACGGUAUUAUUGUAUGUACAGCUGCAGUGGAAAUGUGUUUAAUGCUAAUAUGGUUACAUUCAGGUGUUCAGAUUUAUACUUUUAAUUUUCCUCUUAAGCUCCAGUCAGUGCAGUGCUCCAUAGUCCUGCUCUAAUCAUAUAUUGAUCACUGAUAUUUUCACCCUCAAUUCCAAAAGACAUUGGUAAAGAAUGUUCAUCAUGUGUUUUCUAUUAUAUUGUGAAUAAAAUGUGUGUCUAUGUAAUUUGGAACCA
rnacentral:lncRNA from 1 species